rnacentral:rRNA from 1 species
CCUACGGGUGGCAGCAGUGGGGAAUAUUGGACAAUGGGCGAAAGCCUGAUCCAGCCAUGCCGCGUGUGUGAAGAAGGCCUUCGGGUUGUAAAGCACUUUCAGUGGGGAAGAAAGCCUUGGGGCUAAUACCCUCGAGGAAGGACAUCACCCACAGAAGAAGCACCGGCUAACUCCGUGCCAGCAGCCGCGGUAAUACGGAGGGUGCGAGCGUUAAUCGGAAUUACUGGGCGUAAAGCGCGCGUAGGCGGUCUGAUAAGCCGGUUGUGAAAGCCCCGGGCUCAACCUGGGAACGGCAUCCGGGAGAGUCAGGGGAGACGGCAGGAGAGGAAGGUAGAAUGACAGGUGUAGCGGUGACAUGCGGAGCGAUCGGGAGGAAUAGCGGUGGAGAGGGUGGCCAUCUGGAAUGAAACUGACGCUGAGGUGCUUGAGUGUGAGUAGCAAACAGGAAUAGAUACCCGGUAUGC